rnacentral:tRNA from 1 species
UCCCUGGUGGUCCAGUGGUCAAGACUUUGUACUUCCACUGCAAGGGGCACAGGUUCGACCCUGGUCAGGGAA